rnacentral:rRNA from 1 species
GUGAGGAAUUUUCCGCAAUGGGCGAAAGCCUGACGGAGCAAUGCCGCGUGAAGGAUGAAGGCCUAUGGGUUGUAAACUUCUUUUCUCAGAAAAGAAUUAUGACGGUAUCUGAGGAGUAAGCAUCGGCUAACUCUGUGCCAGCAGCCGCGGUAAGACAGAGGAUGCAAGCGUUAUCCGGAAUGAUUGGGCGUAAAGCGUCUGUAGGUUGUUUAAAAAGUAUUCUGUCAAAGAUUAGGGCUUAACCCUAGAUAGGCAGAAUAAACUUUUAAGCUAGAGUUUGGUAGAGGCAGAGGGAAUUCCCGGUGGAGCGGUGAAAUGCGUAGAUAUCGGGAGGAACACCAAAGGCGAAGGCACUCUGCUGGGCCAAUACUAACACUGAGAGACGAAAGCUAGGGGAGCAAAUGGGAUUAGAAACCCUUGUAGUCC